rnacentral:rRNA from 1 species
AAUAGAUACCCUGGUAGUCCACGCCGUAAACGUUGGGCGCUAGAUGUGGGGACCUUUCCACGGUUUCCGUGUCGUAGCUAACGCAUUAAGCGCCCCGCCUGGGGAGUACGGCCGCAAGGCUAAAACUCAAAGGAAUUGACGGGGGCCCGCACAAGCGGCGGAGCAUGCGGAUUAAUUCGAUGCAACGCGAAGAACCUUACCAAGGCUUGACAUACACGAGAACGGGCCAGAAAUGGUCAACUCUUUGGACACUCGUGAACAGGUGGUGCAUGGUUGUCGUCAGCUCGUGUCGUGAGAUGUUGGGUUAAGUCCCGCAACGAGCGCAACCCUCGUCGCAUGUUGCCAGCACGUUAUGGUGGGGACUCAUGUGAGACUGCCGGGGUCAACUCGGAGGAAGGUGGGGAUGACGUCAAAUCAUCAUGCCCCUUAUGUCUUGGGCUUCACGCAUGCUACAAUGGCCGGUACAAAGGGCUGCGAUGUCGUAAGGCGGAGCGAAUCCCAAAAAGCCGGUCUCAGUUCGGA